UGAAGGUACUAAAAAGAACCAAAUUACCAGGACGCGCAUUGCUUUGUGAAUUAUCACAGCUGAUAUGAACUGACUUUUUGGUAAUUCUUGGCCUAGAAGAAACCUUCCUCAUUCCCACUGCUCUGUAGUGUGGACAGGUGAAGGUUCUACCACACGAUGCUUUCUCAAACAAUUGGAGCUGCCCACCGUGUGAAUAACACAACUGUCAGUGGGCUUGGAUCCUCCUGACCAUUUAAGUGGAUUGUUUAAGCCGUUCCAGUUUUGGGCUCAGCAUCACUGUGGAUCACGUGUUAACCCUGGCAAAGUCUCCCAUAAUGCCAGAAGAGAAUCUGGAAAAAAUUGUGAGGAUAAUUUCUCAAAGUAAAUUCUCUUGUCUGAGGAGAAUUCUUUCAUGGAAGGAGGCAGAGUGAAUGAUUGAAGCACAUUACUUGGUUAAAAAAAUUACUUUCACAUUACAUGAAACUGCAGCACAUUAAAUCACCAGCUUCAAAAAUCUACAAAUUCCAGGUCAGUAGAGUCA